rnacentral:lncRNA from 1 species
AAAUUCCAAUCCUUGUAAACAACAGCAGACAUUUCCAAAGCAUAAUUUCCCCACAAGAAGGUUGAUUCUAUAAUACCCUCUGCAUUGACCAAGACAUUUCGUGCAAGUGCAUUUAUGUUCAUUGUGUCACGGUAGUGAGGAAGUAAAAGUUUAUGAAUAGGGUGAACCACACUAAGAUGCCUGUUUGUUGCUAUGAUGAAUGGCUCAACAACAGCGUGGGUGUUCAACCUGUCACACAUGUCGAUAUUCAUGAAUUAAUCAUAGAUAGGUUAAUUAUGUUUGAUUGUGUAUACGUGAUUAAUGAGAUUCAUACCAAUGGCUGACAAGUUGAUGAUAGCAGGAGUCAUUUACAACAACAAAAGCCUUGGCAAGGAGCCAAAUUGAAGCUUCAACACCUUCACUUGCGGGCAAGUAAACAUUGCUAACAGGACCAAAACUAUCACCUUGAGGGUGUGGCCUGCUUAGUUCAAUGGCCAGUGGCUUCAAAGUUCCAUCAUCUUGCAAGAAAAGUAUGGUUCUGGUAGCAUAGGCCUUUGUCUCGGUUGCAUUUAUUUUCCUCAAAUAUGGAAAGAGUGGGUCGUGGUGAUCAAGUAUGUACAAUCUAUUGUCUUGGAUAGCCUGUAUGACAAAAUAAAAUUUAGCUACUGUGGUUUACUUGAAUAAAAAAAAUUCAAUCAUGGAGAAAAAUAUUAAUCAAACUAAGUCCAUGAGGUGUCAACCCAGUGGUUAAAGUCGACCUUAUAACCUCAAGGGAUAGAUUUCAAAUUUUCUCCCGGACGAAAUUCACGAACGCCACUUUGGAAAAAAAUAGAACUGAUCAAAUAUGUCAUUACCUGUUCUACGGUGACCCCACCCAUGUUUGGCUCCAAGUUUUCUUUGGUUAUGGUGCUGGUAUUAUCACCAAAUUUUUGGCUAUCUAGCUUGCUCUUUGGUGGAAACUCCUGUAUUAAAUUUAGCAAGCAAUAAUGUCACCAAUUACAAAAAUAACAUAAUGUUUACAAAAUAGUCUUAGUUUUAUUUUUUUAAUUUCUUAACAAAGUUAAACUAUUAGCUUUACCGAAAGUUUUUUGAUGAUGUGUGGGUUCACCCCAGCAAUCAUCUCCCUUGCAAAUUCCUCAUCAGUCUGCCAUGCAGAAUGGUCCACUGUUCAUAUUAAGAAAUUUUCAAAAGAUCCAUUAGAUUUCUUUAUAUGAUUUUGUAUAAAUAUAUUACUGCAAGGACUAGGUAUUAUGAUUAAUAUAUACCUUGAAUCACUUUUGGUGGUGGAAACUUAAGUGCUUGUUCACCAUCAGAUCGGAAAAGUUCCUUGAACAAUGGUAUUGGACUAAUCUGGCUUAGUACAUCAGUAGGAAGCUUAAUUCCACCCUCGUAGAGAGAGCGCACAUCUUGAAAGGUGUUAAACUCAGGGUUAUUGAGUUGUAAUGUAACUACAGAUCUCAGUUGAGGUAUGACAUUUUGAGAUGCUGAUUUGAGUAUGUAAACAAGAAAGUCUGAUGACUUUGUGUGUCCAAAAGAUUCAUCUCUUGGAAGGUAAACAGUGGGACUUCGAGUCUCACUCUUAGGAUCUGUUCAAAUAUAUAAUAACAAUAUAUGUUUUAGAAACAAUACCAAAAUCUUUAGAAUCAUAAGCAGGGUAAACAUUUGGAUCAACCAAAAAAACACAUGUUUAGUCCAAAAUCUGACAGAAGUGUUUGUGGCCUAACCUGUUUUAGUUUUUCUUCUGCCAGUUCUUCCCCUUCGAGGGUAAGGGAAAUCGCUUGAUCCCCCAAGAAUUUGACGCGCCAAUUGAGGUUUCGAGUCAGGCUCACCCAAAUCAUUGUAGACAUCGUAAUCAUAUAUUCUUUCCCAUUCCUUGCGCUCUCCAGUUCCAUCUCCUCUUAAAGUCUUCAAUUCUUCUUGUCUGUAGUACACUAAUGGAGCCGGUGUUUCACUUGGAAGGUAUGUCUACAUAAAUUUAAUCAUUCAAAAUAUCAAGUUUUAGGAAAUAGGCUUAAUAUUCAGCAAGCUAUAUAGUUAUUAUGAUAAAGUGGAUUUGUGAUUUGAGACAUCAGAAAGAGAUUGGGAGUUGCAAGUUCUCAACUCCCUCUACUCGCAUUUCUAAAAACUAAUUACUAAUAUUUGUCGUUAUAAUAGAAAUAACAAGCUACAUGUGUAAUAGAAUUUUUAUUCUUACCUUGUUGGCAAAGAAGAUGCGGUCGGUUUUGUACUUUUUAGAAUUGUAAAUCCAUGAGUUGCAGACAAAGUGGAUGGAUCCAUGGUUUGGAACAUCUUCAAGUGUCAAACUCACAAGGAAGAAUUCACCUUGCAUAAAAUUAUCGAUGUAAAAAGCUCCGGGAAUUCCCAUGUUACUGUCCCAUUCAAAAUGAAUACUGAAAGCAUUUUGUUUGUCUCCCAAUGUUGGUAUGGAGGUAAGAAGACCUUCCAGAAAUGUUUCCUUUCCCACUUUUCCUUUUCCAGCAGCUAUAUUAAAAAUGUCAAAUAUUAUUAGUUUCUCAAUUUCACUAAUCCAUGAUUUUCAAAGUUUAAUUUUAUUCUUUUACAGAUCCAUUUUUCUUUUUACAUGAUCAUCAUCCAUCUUGCCUGAGUUAUAUCGAAGGGAAAUAAUUUCAAUAUUUUAGUGGUAAUUGAUUGUACCUGAUCAUUUAUAACCAAUAUUCUACAUCAAAAUCUCCAUUGCACAUUUUUAAUUUAAUAAAAAAAACAAAAGGGAAAAUAAGGUAAAUCUUAAUGGAUUGAUGUAUCAAAAACUCUUCUUGAAUAAUAGGCUGGCUUGGUGGUGUGGUGGAAGAGUUAUGGAGUAAUUAAUGCAGUCUGAGUUCAAUUCUUACAUCUAGCAAAAACUAACAACCGACAUAAUACUCAUUCGAUAUUAUUUAUAAGAAAUAAUGAAUUUUUUGAUUUAUUGAAUAAUUAAUGUAUAUGAUAUAUAUUCUAGAUCGAAUACAUAAAUUAUUCAAUGAAUCUAAAAAAUUAAUUAUUUCUUAUAAAUAGGAUUGGAUGAAGUAAUAUUUAUUGCUUAAAAAAAUAAAACUCCUCAAUAUUUUGUUGUUAAAUCAGAGAUAUCCUCCACGUGCAAAUGUCUGUCACUUAUGUUAUGUCACACAAUGUUGGUAAAAGAGUCUAAGUAAAGAGAUCAUAGAAGUAUGAAAAGAAGCAAUUUUAAAUAGAAAAAGAUAGUAGAAUUUACAAUUUUAAAAAUCUAAUAAGACAGAAGUUCAAAUAUAAAGUAUAUAGAUGGGGAUGUCAAAUUUUAAAUAGCUUAUGGUACAAGAUUAAUUUAAAAAAUUUAAGUGAGCAUGUGCACCCAUCACGUAGAUCCAUACAUACCAAAUGACAAAGAUAAAGUCCAAAACAGUUGCCAAACGCCAAAUAUCACACUUAUUUGCAUUAUAUAUACUUCUUUUUUUACAAAACCAUUAGAUAUACUCCCUUUAAUAUACAUUGGAUAUAAGUUUUUAUAUAGUCAUUUUUUAUUCCAAUAGUACUAUUUUUUCCAUAUCAUUUUAUUACUUAAUCAAAUGUCCAAAUUAUUUUAAAUAGUUACUUAAAUAAUUUCAUAAUUUCUUUAUUUUAAUUAAGAAGAGACAACGAUGAAAUUUUUGUCUGUCAAGUAAGGAUAUAGUUUUGCAGUUAAUAAAAGAAUAUAAACACAAUUUUUUUCUUUUCAUAAAUUUCAUCAAAGAAGGUAAUCAAUCUUAUUCAGAAUCCGUCGAUCAGACACUAAAUGUGAUACCUCUCUCAAUCAAGAUUCUAAAAUCAUUCUCGUCCGUUAGAUCCAAUUACUUCCAUUGGUGUACACAUAAUUUAAAUAAGUUAUAUCAAUCAAUUAAUUAAAAUGCCUAUUUCUUGUAUGAAUUAAACAUAGUGAGAAAGGUCCUCGUGAACUAGCUCAAUUGAUAGAGACAUAUAAUAUAAUAUAUGCAGGGGUUGAAGUCCGAACCCUAAACAUCCGACUUCUCCAUAUUUAAAAUGUGUGAGCUCCCGUCACUGGGUUAAUUGACAAAAAGAAAAAUAGAGUGAGAAAGAGAAAUGAGUUAUUACCAUCAGCACUUGUAGCACUAAUCAACCUGAGAGCUAUAGAACGUCCCAAGAAGGAAGUGGCAGUAUCAAGUAUAUUGCCAGCAACAUCACCAACAAUACCAAAGGCACCACCAAUGAUACCAGUAGGGCUUUUAGCAGCAGUGAGGGCGUUGAUAUCCAAAGUAUUCUUUUGCAUCAACACCACAGUUCCCUUCAACUUUUGGCCUCUAUCAAAGAGACCUGUUACACCAGAAAACAUCUUUGAAUAUGCUUUAAAUGUAUUACACUAUAUAUGGUAAAUGAAAGAAAGGCUUGUGUCUUGUAACCAUAGGGGUGGUUAGUAUUUAUAGUAGUUGAUGAGAUUAGGAUCACAAUGUUAUAGUUCAAAUGAGGUGAUAUUUUUAUUCAACUACUCAUUUACAACAUGGUGGAAUGCAAUUGGUCACGUCUUAUGCUAAUUUUUUAUUAUGAGUGAUUAUCUCGUGGUAUAUAAAAUAAUAAUAUAUCCGAUUGCAAAAUUAUUUUGGUAGUUGUUAUAUGUGCCAGCCUUGGCAUUAUGUUCAAUAAUAAUGACUCUGUUUGCUCUAUUGUUAAUUAUUACUACUAUCUUACGUGUCUGCAUUGGUUUUCUCGAGUUUUCUCAUAUUUUUUAAAGUGGGAAAAUCUCUACCCUUAAAAUUCAUUUCUUUCUUAUUUUAAUUUCAAAAUCUCUCCUCUUUUUUUUUUUUUUUUUUUUUUCUUUUUCUUUUUCUUUCUCUCAUACUAUCAAAUCAAGAUUAGGAUUGGACUUGAGAUACAUUUGCUUAGUCACAAACAUAAAAAUGAGUCAUUUAACACACACAAUGUAAUAAAAAAAAUUGAUUUGGUGUUGUGGUCUAAUUUAACACUUACUAUAUAAGUAUUUCUCCAUCCAAAGAUGGAUCCAAAAAUCUAUUAGCAAUUUUAGUUCACGGCCUAAUUUAUUCUCUUGUUUGGGAGUCUUUUGUAACAAUUUUUGUUUUUUUAUUUUGGGUUGACGGCAAGACCUUUGUCUUUUGAUGUAACUAUACUCUUUUUCCUUGUUCUUUUGGCACUUUCUGUGCUGGAAUAGCAGAUAUUUUUCAAAUAUAAGCAAUCAACGUUUGUUCUAGGGCGCUCUAUAUAUGGAUAAUGUUAUCAGCCACGUUUUUGACAUUUGCAUCAAUUUUUUUCUUUAUAAAUGAUGAAUAAGACAUGUAUUACUAAUGAUGGUUGAUAUUCCAGCUAUCAUGGAAUCCAAGUCGCCAUAGUACAAUGUUUUUAAAAUCCCAGCUAUGUUGGCAACCCAAAACAUCGUGUGUCAAAUGCGCCACAUCUUAUAUAUUAUUAAUAAUAAAAAAUACAAAAACGAAAAAAGUUGAGUUAAACUCAACAAAGCUAAUUAAAAUGAUAGGUAUGCAUACCAAACCUAUCUAAAAAAACCACUGAUAAUAAAACUAGGACAUAUAUACCACCAUUGAAAAUCUCCAAUUAGUUUACAAAUAUCAACGAAAAAACUUCUCCUUUUCCUCUUGUGACAUAGAUGAUCUCCAGUAGGUUUCUGCGUUUUUCCUCUUCAGUUUCGUGUUUUGCUGCUUGCGUUGGGGGUGUGAAAAUUAAACACUGAUGACUUGUGAAAAAAAGAAGCAUAAAGGGCUGCUGGACUAAAGUCUGAUAAUUGUUGGUCCCUCUAUUAUUUUUGUUAUAUACACCCCUCUAUAAACGAUUAUUGUUAUAUACACCCUCGUAUAAAAAAAUUAGGUCCCUAAAGGCAUGGGCCCUAGGCUGCCGCACCCCAUCCUAUAUCUAUGGCUGGCCCUGAAUGUUAUCGUUGUAAUAGAAGUGGUUUAAUAUAUAAAAUGAAAGACAUAAGGUAAAUAGGGUAAUGUUGCAUUAAAAAUGGAUGUUGGUAAGGCAUGUGGCAUUGAUAGGUCAUUUGAAAGAAAUUUUGAUGAAGAUGAGGUUAUGUCAGUAGUGAAUGAACUAGAUAAUGAUGUGUAUUAAAAUGGUGGAUUAUUCCAUUAUUGUUAACAAUGAAAUCACAUGACCAAUCAUACUCGGACGAGGCCUUCAUCGGAGAGAUUCUUUGUCUCAUUGUUUAUUCUGUGUGCAGAAGGCCUAUGUGCUCUUAUUAAGUAUGUCGAGGCUAGUGGAGAGCUUCAUGGGGUCAAAAUUUGUCGAAACACUUUGAUUAUUACUCGAAUUUUAUUUGCAGAUGACUACUUUCUAUUUUUCAGGGAAGGUGAAGCGCCGAGACUCAAAAUAUGAAGCAAAUUUUGAGGUUGUACAGAGCAACGUCUGGAUAUUACAGCUUAAAUGCCCAACAAUCCCUUCAAAAUGCUUUUACAACAACCUUAGGGGGGUCAGGCGGUGUUAUGCACAAUGAAGUACAUCGGACUACCCUCUAUGAUUGGUAGAAGAAGGAAUGUUACGUUCAGCUUUCUCAAAGAUAUGACUGGAGCAACAAGUAUUUGUGAAAGGAAGAUAUAAUGAUAAAAACAUGUACUGCAAGCAAUACCAUCUUAUGGAAUUAGAAUUUUCUUACUUUCUACCAUGUUCUUUGAUGCCAACGAAAAGAUUAUUAACACGUACGUACUGGUGGGGUCAUGGUGGUUCCACAAUUAGAGGUAUUGACUGGUUAUCAAGGGACAUGCUUGUUGUCUACAAAUUUUUUGGAGGUUUGGGGUUUAAAUACUUGACGUCAUUCAACUAAGCAAUGUUAGGAAAACAAGAUCGGAAAUUCCACACACACUUGGACUGUUUGGUAUCAAGACUGUUCAAGGCGCUCUAUUUUCCUCAUGGAAGCUAUCUAGACCGAAAGUGAUGACAGAGCACUAUAUGACAUUUUGGGCUAUGUUUUUAGUACUUUUAUUUGCAUUUGAAGACAUAUAAGUUGAGAGAUAGAGGAGUUGUUAAUGGUUUGGGAAACAUAUUGUAUUGUUUUCAAUCGAGCCGUUGUUCUUGAUGCUUGACAGUUUAAGGAACCUCUAGGGUAUGUUUUUUAAACAUCGUUGUUCCUUGAUUGAGGAACCUCUAGAUAUUUCAUGAAGUGUAAUUCCUUUAGAUGACAAUUUAAGAGUCACACGGGAUGUUGCAGUCAAAAGAUGUGAUCAUGGCUUUCAUAAUUGAGUUAUGGAUAAAACGACAUCUGUAGGAAUAUUCUCUCUAUAGUAAACCACCGUUUAUGUAAUUUUUAGGUUUUAAUUAAUAGGUACUUUGCAUUAAUCCAACAAAGAGGGAAGAGGGAAGAGGGGAUUCAAGGAUUCCCUAAUCACCGUUAUACAUCUAAAUCACACAAACAUAAUCUUUCUUUGGAUAGGGAAAUUUAACCAUGCAAAUCUUUUUUUCAUCUCUUUUCUAUUUUCUUUCUAAUAAGUUUUGCUAAUUACCGAAAAACUUGCUACUUUAUUAAUUGUUAUGAUUUGGUGCACUUGCCAAUUUCGUCCUUCAGAAAGCUUGGACAUAAAUCAAAGCUUUAGUUGGAGAAGAAUAUUUACCGCUAAGAGAGUAGUACAAAAAGUUGCUCGGUGGAAGAUCAGAUCGGGUACAAAGUUUCAAUUUUUUAUGCUUUGUGGGUAAAAGAUGGGACAAGUAUUCUAGGAGAUGGUCAACCUCUCAAGGUAAUUCAACAGGCUAAAGUGCACAAUCUCGUUGAUCAAGAAUUUCCCGUAUAGAACAAUCAUAUUGUAAACCAGUGUUUUGAUCAACUUAUAAAUGAGCUCAUUCUGAGUACUCCUUUAAUUGAGUCUGUUAAAGAAAGAUAAAUUAAUUUUUAAAUCAAAGAAAAAUGAACAUUACUCGGUAAAAAUUGUGUACAAGAUUUAUACAUAAAAUAGUGCAGGCAACUCAUAUUUAUGUCAGUAAGGUCAUUGGCUGGAAUUUAGAAGUUAAAGGUGCAUCCCAAAGUGAAGGAUUUCAUUUGGCUGAUUUAUCAAGGUUGCUUACCGACGCGUGUAAGGCUGAAAGAUCGAAGUCUCCAUUGUCUGUCUAUUUGUAUGAUGUGCACCGGUAACUAUGGGGAUGCAAUGCAUAUAUUGUUUGAUUCUCCGUAAAUAGGAUAUGUAUAUAUUUUUCUCAAGUGCAUUAAUUUUAUCAUUCAUAGCUCCAGCCCAGUUUAUAUUUUUAAAUGUUUCUUCAAUAGAUGAUUUGAUUCUCACAUAAUCAACGGCAACAAUAAAACUUUGAUUGUGUGGAAAGUUGUUUAGUGGAGACAUAUUGAGAAAUAUGUAUGAUAUCUAUAUAUAGAGGGACAGAUCGAUAACAUUUGCAAUCAUCUACAACAGGCCAUGUUACCCAAGAACAAUCAUCAAUAAAAGAAACAAACCACCUUGCCCCAUAAAUAUUAGAAACAACAAGAAAUAUUAGAAACAGGGGCCGAUCGGCAGACAUCAAAAUGAAUAAGAUCAAAUGGUUCAACACUUUUACGAAGAUUCAACGAAAAAAGUGGUAUGUGUACGCUUAUAAAAUGGAUAUAUAUAUCACAUUUAAAAGACUAAAUCGAUUGCAUUAAAAAACAAAGAUGGAAACAUAAACUUCAUUAGUUGAAAAUGAGGAUGACAAAGACGUUUGUGCUGAAGCCAAAUUUGAGAGGCAGAAUAAGACUCUGACUAAGACUGAAGUGCAGAAGACAACACCUUCUGAUCAAUUCGUGCAUCAUACAAAUAAUAUAGCCCUCCUUGUUCCUAAGCAACUCCAAUCGUCUUUCCCAUUACAAGAUCCUCGAAAGCACAAUGUGAAUCAAAAAAUAUUACUGCACAAAUAUUAUCCUUUAUAAGCUUACGAACAUAGAUAAGGUUAUUCCAAAGACAAGGAACAUGAAGCAUAUCUUUCAACUUAAAAGGUUCAAGGUUAAUUUCUCCACAACCAUCUACACGAGUAUGAGAACCAUAUGCAGCCGCAAAAAAGAAUGUCAUAUGAAGAAAUUUACUUCAAAAAGGCCAAGAACCAAUGUCAUAUGAUCAAUAGCACUAUAGUCAAUAAUAUAAUCAACAUUUCAAGCAAAAACCACAUAUAACUAUUUUCAGUCACAUUGGCUGAUAACUACAAAAGAAUCUCCUCAAAAGAACAACAAAAAGAAGAGGCUUCAAAUAACAAAAAAUAGGCAACAAGGUAAAAACCGUAAGUCGCAACAACGUAAAAUCACCAAAUAAAAGUCAAACUGAAUCACAAAGGGUCCUCAAAGAUGCUGGUAGUCACAAACAAGCACAAAACAACCGCUAUCAAUCAGUUAGUGUCAAGAGUACCCACGUAAAAUAGUAUCUUGGUCUUGGAUCAAGAUUUUGACCCCUUAAACGAACCAAUUAUGUGAAGACUAUAAUUUCUAGGAAUAAAUGGUGUCGAAUGGUGGUUCACAAGGUGGCAUGUGCAUCGCACUUGAUGGAGCUUCACUUUAGAUUGGGCCUCUGCUCUCAACUUCUCAAGUUCUUCUUCAAAAAGUAUUUGAGAACAAAUUUUUAUAGCCCUUUCGUUUAAAAAAUCUUUUUAGUUUUGCCAUAUUAGUUGAUGUAUGAUUCUUUAACUGUAUUUACAUUGGAAAAACAAUUGGCAGUGGAAAUAAAAUCAUUAUGAUCUAUUAUUGCUUUUUCAAUGUUAUCAUUUUUUUGUCAUGCUAUAUUGCAUAUUUGCAUUGAGAGCUUUUUUGUCAUGAAAUAAAAUAUGAAGUUUGCAUUUUAUAUACAAAGUAAAUCACACAACAAAAUAGAAACAUAGUAACUUUUAUUGAUGAAAUACAUUAUAACAAUCAAACAUGAUAGUUUUUAUUGAUAAAACACAUUACAGAAUUAAAAACAAACGUACAUAAUAACAUAACAUGACGAUAUACAUAGGGGGCGAGGGAAUUGGAUUCCUCCUCCUCUUUUAUUAAUAGCGACAACGCAACAACCACGACGUUUUUUAGAUAGAGACACUGUUGGGAAUGCCUCUGCAAGUCAAUCCUUCCUCACUAGAAGGAUAAAGCAGAGUGUAAGGCAUCUUCACUGGUCCGUUACGAUUCCUCAGUGUCUCAUCAUUGUUCCUUUGAAUGAGUUUUUGCUCAAUUUCAGCCAACUUCUUUCCAAACCUCUUAAAGGACUCUUUUGGCUGUGAAUCAGAAGUCCAGAGAUCACCUUCAAUUCUCUCUCCAAGGUAUUGCUCAUCAGAAGCAUGCCUUGACAAGACUUCUAUAAUGGUCAAGUCAGUAAGAGUAUCAUUCUUGGGUGUUAUUGUCCUCAGAUAAGACUUCUGGUAGUCCUUAGCAAGCUCAUCAUACUCAGGGGAUCCCUGCUCAGGCAUGAAUCUUCUACUUUUAGUUGGUCGGUUAACGAUAUAUCCUCCAUACGGAUAUUGUCCAAAAUUAACUGCUGCAUGAAGUGCUGAAGCAAUCCAUAUGAGGGUGGUGCAAGCUUCAAUCAACUCCUCACGAGUUUGCAUCUUAAACCACCAUGUAGCAUUCUUCAAGUCACCAUGACCGACCUCUACAAGUUCUUUCCAGAAUGCUUGGAGUUCAGAAUCUUGUGCAAUAGAUGCAUCUGACUUGUAGUAGAAAUUGACAUAUUCAUCAACCCAUGAUUUAAUAGCAGCCCAUAUUUCUAGUCCAUCUGAAGCAUAAGGGUAGUCCUCUAUUAGAAGUCGAAGACCAUAUGCUGAAGUAGGGUCCUCAACGGCCACUCCUCUAUAGAACAAGCAAAGGAAGAUAACAUUAACAUACAAAAAAAAAAGAUAGUUAGGAAAGUUACUUAGAGUUUGUUUGAUUGGUAGUUACUUUGUUGAUUCUCUACUAGCUCUAUACAUGGCUACAAAGUCAAACAUUUACCAUUGAACUGAAACCGUGUGGUAUUAUACUUGAGAUCAAUAUCUUUUUAAAAAACGGACUGAGUCAAGAUGUAAUGUUUUGUAAGGUUACCUUUUGAUUAGAUCAUUAGGUAGGCCUUGCUCAGUGAAAACCCAAUCCUUGUAAACGACAGAAGACAUUUCCAAAGCAUACUUUCCCCACAAGAAAGUUGACUCGAUAAUACCCUCGGCAUUGACCAACACAUUUCGUGCUAGUGCAUUUAUGUUCAUCGUGUCACGAUAAUGUGGAAGCAGAAGUUUAUGAAUAGGGUGAACCACACUUAGAUGCCUAUUUGUUGCUAUGACGAAUGGCUCAACUACAGCAUGAGUGUUCAACCUGUCACACAUUGUAGAUAAAUUUUCAUCAAAUUACUCAUAGAUGUAUAAAAUUUAUUUGAUUGUUUAAAUAUCAUAAACGAAAUUCAUACCAAUGGCUAACAAGUUGGUGAUAACAUGAAUCAUUUACAAUUACGUAAGCCUUGGCAAGGAGCCAAAUUGAAGCUUCAACACCUUCACUUGCAGGCAAGUAAACUUUGCUAACAGGACCAAAACUAUCACCUUGAGGGUGUGGCCUACUUAGUUCAAUGGCCAAUGGCUUCAAAGUUCCAUCAUCUUGCAAGAAAAGAAUGGUUCUAGUAGCAUAGGCCUUAGUCUCGGUUGCAUUUAUUUUCCUCAAAUAUGGAAAGAGUGGGUCGUGGUGAUCCAGUAUGAACAAUUUAUUAUUCUGGAUAGCCUGUUCCACAAAAUAAAAUUUAGCACUGUUGAAUUAUUUUUUUAGAGUAAAGUUGUUGAAUUGGGUAGAGAUUUACCUGUUCUACCGUGACCCCAACCAUGUUUGGCUGCAAAUGUUCUUUGGUUAUGGUGCUGGUAUUAUUACCAAAGAGUUGGGUAUCUAACUUGCUCUUUGGUGGAAACUCCUAAAAUAAAUGUACGAAGCUGUGGUUAAUUAAAACUUAUAAACAUGGCAUGAAAAGUGGGAAAAAUAGCAUUUGUUAGUUUUUCAGUAUUUUCUUAACAAUGUUAAACCAUUAACUUUACCAAGAGUUUUUUUAUGAUGUGUGGAUUCACCCCAGCAAUCAUCUCCCUUGCAAAUUCCUCAUCAGUCAUCCAUGCAGAAUGAUCGACUGUUCAAAAUUAAAAUUUCAAAAGAUCCAUGAACUUUAUUUCUCUGAUAUAUGUUAAUAGUAAUAGGAAUGUGUGACUAAUUAAUAUAAACCUUGAAUCACUUUUGGUGGUGGAAACUUAAGUGCCGCUUCACCAUCAGUUCGGAAAAGUUCCUUGAACAAUGGUAUUGGGCUAAGUUCACUUAGUAUAUCAGUAGGAAGCCUGAUUCCACCUUCAUAGAGCGAGCGCACAUCUUCAAAGGUGUUAAACUCAGGCUCAUGGAAUUGUAAUGUAACUAUAGAUCUUAAUCGAGGUAUGACAUUUUGAGAUGCAGAUUUGAGUAUGUGAACAAGAAAGUCUGAUGACUUUGUGUGUCCAAAUGAUUCAUCUCUUGGGAGGUAAACAGUGUCACUUCGACUCUCACUCUUAGGAUCUGUUCACAAAUACAAUAACAAUGUAUGUUUUAGAAUCAUAAGCAGAGUAAACAUUUGUAUCAACAAAAAGACUUAGUAAACAACAUCAGGGAUAAAAACAUUAGUUGUCAAGUAGAAUACAAUUUCACAUUUUAGUACCAUAUCACUUAAUUUUUGCCAGAAUUUCUUAAAAUAUAACAUACUCAAGUGUUAAGAUAGAACGUAAAGUUAUAACCUUUACGAGCUGCUUUCCUGCCGGUUCUCCCUCUUCGAGGGUAAGGGAGGGUGCUAGAUCCUCCAACAACAGGACGAGCCAAACUAGCGUUCUUGUCCACAUCACCCAAAUCAUUGUAGACAUCAUAAUCAUAUAUUCUUUCCCAUUCCUUACGCUCUCCAGUUCCAUCUCCUCUUAAAGUCUUCAAUUCUUCUUGUCUGUAGUAGACUAAAGGAGCUGGUGUUUCACUUGGAAGGUAUGUCUACAAAAUUGUAGUCAUUGAUUGUGUCAAGUUUUUGGAAAAGAGAAUUUAUAGUCUAAAAAAAUAUUUAACAAGUUAUACAUGUUGGAUAUAAUUUAUAAAUAUUCUUACCUUGUUGGCAAAGAAAAUGCGUUUAGUUUUGUAAUUUUUAGCGUUGUAAACCCAUGAGUUGCAAACAAAGUUGAUGGUUCCAUGGUUUGGAACAUCUUCAAGAGUCAAGCUGACAAGGAAGAAUUCACCACCUUGCAGAUAAUUCUCAAUAUAAAAAGCUCCUGGAGUUCCCAUGUCAUUGUCCCAUUCAAAUUCAAUACUGAAAGCAUUUUGUUUAUCUCCCAAUGUUGGCAAGGAGGUAAUAACACUUGCCAGAUACGUUUUCUCUCCCACUUUGCCUUUUCCGGUUUUUCCUAUACAAAAAUUGGACUCUCAAUUUCACUGAUGAUGAUUUUAAAUAGUAGUAACACGUUAUAGCUAUUCCAAAAUUUGAUGUUUUUUACAGCUCAAAUGUUCUUUAUACCUACUACAUAAUUUCUCAACAUCCACUUGCCCUUAAUUAUAUCAAAUUGAAACUAAAUUUUAAUAUUUUAGUGGUAAUUGAUAGUAACUGGUUAUUUAUGAAUAAUAUUUGGGUAUUGUUAAAAUAAGAUAAAGAAGUUGUUACCAUCAGCAACGGUAGCACUAAUCAGCCAGAGAGCCACAGAACGGCGGAACAAGGAGGUGGCAGUGUCAGCUACAGUACCGGCAGCAUCACCAACAAAAUCGAAGAAACUGUCAACUACACCACCGGCGCUUUGAGCUGCAGUGAGUUCGUUGAUGUCUAAGACAUUCUUUUGCAUCAACACCACAGUUCCCUUCACCUUUUGGUGCUUAUCAAAGAGACCUUUCACCAAUGAACUCAUCUUUAAUGCUUAAAUGUAUUACACUAUCUUUGGUAAAUGAAAGAAAAGCUUGUGUUUUGUUACCAAGGGGAUGCUUAGUAUUUAUAGUAGUUGAUAGGUGCAAGGUUAGUUCAAAAGAAAUAAUUGUUUAUUGUUCAUUAUUAUAUGUUUUUUACAUAAUUAAUUUACUAAAUAACAACACAUUUAAAUGAAGAUGGGUAAUAUAAGCUGGCACAUUACAUAAAUAACUCUUACCAAAAAAAAAAUUACAUCAAUAACUGAUAUCUACGUGUUUUUUUGUUUCUGUCACUUGAGUGCGAUAUUUUUUGUUCGUCAUCUUGAUGCAUUGUUGUUUGAUUUUUUGUUUUGUUGUGAUGUUCUUUUAAUUUAAAUUCAGUCAAUGACUUUAGCUCUAACAUUAAAAAUUUGGAGGGAUAAAUAUUAAGUUUACUUUGAUUUUGUGACUUUUAUAGACAUUUUGUUACUUUAUGUUAUUAAUUUGGUUUUUUCUAGAUUACCUUUGAAGAAUGGUGGGUAAUUUACCCACCAACCAAUGAAAAUGAGCAAUUUAUUGGUGGGGUCAAUAUAGUUCAUGGAUACCACUUAAAAAUGUGCUUAUGUGGCUAAUGUGUAUUGGUUGGGAUAAAUUACCCACCAUUCUUUCAUGGAUACCCUAGUUGUCACCUAUUAAUUUACAUGUUGUGGUUUUAUUCUCAUGUUUAACUUAAAUCAAUUCAGCUACUCAAUCUCCUAUAAUAUUUUCCACGUGUUCUAUUAAUUUGAACUGAUGACUGUUUUGGUUAGUAAGAAAAAGCACGUUUAAAUGCAAUUGGGGCACAAUCUUAUGCUAAUUUUUCGAUGAUUAUCUUGUUUUAUAUUAAUAAUAUAUUCGUAGGUUUCAUUAUUAUUUAGAUUGUUUUAUGUAUUGUUAAUUAGGUACUGACCUGUAUGCAUUGGUAGUUUCGAUCAGGGUUGAAAUAGAUGGCCGUUUGGGACCCCAUCUUAGGAGGGACAUAAAUAUUUUUAUAAUUAGAAAAGUAAAACCAUAUGUACUUAAAAAACUAUAAAAAAAUUUGUUAAUGUUAACGAGUGGUUCAAAGACACUUGUUAAUUAGGUUACUGGAAAUUAGAUCUCAAGUUCACAAAAGAACAAAUUUCUAUCCACUUUUCAAUUCACUCAAACUAACAAUGAAUCCUAAGAGAAAACAAUAAAAAAAACGUUUUGAUCCUUUUUCUAAUGAGAUCUCACUGUUAAAGGUGUUUGUAAAGUGUUUCACUUUUCCAAGAACCUCAUCCAAAGACAUUAAACCAUAAAGUUCCCUUUGAUUUUUCCUAAGUUUAUCUCUCUUGAAGCCACAUAUUAAAUUGAAGAAUGAAGCUUUUUAUAGAACUCAGACUUAGAUAAUGAUUUUGUUUGGAUAAUGCCACGAUUUCGAGCUCGAACACAGUAAUGCACUAAACCUUAUCCUCAAAGUGCGUCAUGAUUUUCUCCCUUCAGACUGCAAAAUAAUGCGAACCAAACCUCAAAAAGUCUAAACCAAAUUGCGUCAUGAAUUCUUCAAAUCGCGCCAUGAUUUUUGACGAACUUCAACAUUAACUUUGAGCCAAUUUUAAAUAUUUCUCAUCCUUAACUCUAAAUUGUUGGUGAUGUCAUUUUAACCAUCAACAACCUAAAUGCUAUCUCCAAUGAUAAAUUAUUCUUCAACAAAUUUAAUCAAGUUCAAGCAAUCCUUGAACCUUGAUAUAGACAAUAACUUGGUGAACACAUCUGUCGGAUUUUCUUCCGUAGCAACUUUCUCAAUCAUAAUCUAUUUCGAUUCAAUCAUGUCUCUAACGAAGUGCAAGCGAAUGUCAAUGUAUCUUCACAAUGUAUCACAAUACACUUGAAGAUAUGUCAAAUGGAUGACAUUUUGGCUUUGGCUAUCACAAUGUAUCUUCACACAUAUUUGAGCAAUUCCUAACUUAUAUAUUGUUGUAUAUUAAUAAUAUAUCCCUGUUCCAGAACUAAAACAGUAGUCUAAACUGUUUUUUAUGUCAUCUAAAGAUCGUACCCAAUCACUAUCAGAGUAACCUUGCAACUUGAAAAUUUUCCAUCGAUAGAACUUAAUGCCAUAAUUUAAGGUUCCCUUGACAUACCUCAACACUCUUUUUUCUCCUUUGAAAUGAGAUUCUUUAGCACAAUUCAUGAAUCUUGAAAGAACAUUUACAACAUACGAAAUAUUUGGUCUUGUAGUUGUAAGAUACAUUAAGCAUCCAAUUAAACUUCGGUUGAGUGUUUCAUCCACGUGUUCUUCUUCAACAUCCCUUGCAUCUCAAAUUCUCGAAUGAAAUUAAGCGCUUGCAUUCCCCUAAUUCUUUCAUCUCCUUCGUAUUCAGUUUUGAGGAAAUUUCAUAUUUCAAAUGCUGGUUUGAUGGUCAUAAUUUUGGUUAAGAUUUCUUCUGAGUCAUCAGCAAAGGAAGAACUUCGUAGUCCUCCUCAAGAGCUUCGCAGAGGUCAUUUGCCUCUAAAUACGCCUCCAUUCCUGCUGCCCAUAUAUGAUAGUUUUCACCAUCAAACACAGAUAAUGGUAGGGCUUUGUAGGGUGUUUCAGAAUCCAUCAGUUUGAUGAAUUGAGGAAUAAUGUUUAAGCUUUUACGGUAGCUUUCACUCACUUCACUCGCAAGUCCCUCCAAGAAGAAGGCUUUGAUACCAAUCUGUUGGUGAUUAUACGUAACUCAUAGAAUAGGAAGGGAAAAACUGAAAUAUUAUUGAAUUGAAAAAACUGUUGUCAAAUACAAAGUUGUAACUUAAAUAAAAAACAAAUAUUGAGUAACUAACUCAUGAUCUUUAGCCACUACUUUAUUAGCUAAUUAAAAACUGAAAUAUUAAAACAAAUUCUCUUAGAGACUUGGUCAAAUAGUGCAGCUGGAAGUAACAACUGAUGAUACACAUGUUCAACACCUUCUCAUCAUUUAUUCAAAGCAACAAACAACACAACAACCAUGGUGUUUUUUAGAUGGAGACACUGUUGGGAAUCCCUCUGCCAGUCAAUCCUGGUCCACUGGAAGGAUAAAGAAGAGUGUAUGGAAACUUCACAGGCCCAUACCUGUUUUUCAAUGACUCAUUAUUGUUCCUUUGAAUGAACUCUUCCUCAAUUUCAAUCAAUUUCUUUGCAAACUUUUUGUAGGCUUCUACUGGCUUUGGAUCAGAAGUCCAAAGAUCACCUUCAGUUCUUUGUCCAAGGUAUUCCUCAUUAGGAUCAUGCAUGGAUAAUACCAGCAUAGUAUUCAUAACUUCAAGGGUUUCAACCUUUGGUGUGAUUGUCGUCAAAUAUGUCUUCAUGUAGUCCUUAGCGAGCUCCUUAAACUCAUGUGAUCCUUUCACUGGCAUGAAUCUUAUGGUUUUAGUUGGUCGGUUAAGGAUGUACCCUCCAUACUGAUAUUGUCCAAAAUUAACAGCUGCAUGAAGUGCUGAAGCAAUCCAUAUGAGGGUGGUGCAAGUUUCAAUCAACUCUGUACGAGUUUCCAAUUUAACCCACUUAUCAGUCUUCAAGUCACCAUGACCUACUUCUACAAGUUCUUUCCAAAAUGCUUUGAGUUCCUCAUCAUCUUUAACAUCUUUAUCUGACUCGUAAUAGAAAUUGACAUAUUCAUCAACCCAUGACUUAAUAGCAGCCCAUAUCUCUAGUCCAUCUGAAGCAUAUGGAUAAUCCUCUAUCAGAAGACGCAGACCAUGUGGGGAAGAAUCAUCGUCAACAGCCAUUCCUCUAGAUAAAUAAACAAGAAAGGUAACAUUAAAACACACGCAAAAAAAUACGGAAGGGGUUAUUGUUAAUUAAAAUAGUAAUAACUAAUAACUAUUUUACAAUUGUCUGAGAAAGAGUUCGUACUCUGUCAAAUAGAAAUAUAAUAAUAGUUAGUUUGAGAUUUUUAAUUAGUAUGUAAUUAGUUUGUUAUUUGGUUGUUAGGUUUUAAGUUAUUGAUUCACUUGGGAAUAUAUAAAAUGUAUAUAUUUUAGAUUAAUAUCUUUCUAAUAAAUGGACUGAACCAUGAUGCAAUGUUUUGCUAAAUUACCUAUUUUUUAGAUCAGUAGGUAGUCCUUCUUCAGCGAAAACCCAAUCCUUGUAAACAACAGCUGACAUUUCCAUACAGUAUUUUUCAAACAAAAAUGUCGACUCUACAAUACCCCCUGCAUUGAUCAAGAUAUUUCGUGAUCGUGCAUUUAUGGUCAUCGUGCCACGAUAGUGUGGAACUAAAAGUUUAUGAAUAGGGUGAAGCACACUAAGAUGCCUAUUUGUUGCUAUGACGAAUGGCUCAACAACAGCAUGUGUUUUCAACCUGUGACACAAGUAAAUAUAUAUUCAUAAAAUUACUACUCAUUGAUAAAUCAAAUAUAUAAUUUUAUUAUAUCAAAAUGAUCUAGGAAAUUCUCACCAAUGGCUGACGAGUUGGUGACAACAUGAGUCAUUUACAACAGCGUACGCCUUUGCAAGGAGCCAAAUUAAAGGUUCAUCAUCUUUAGCAUCUUUAUUUGGGGGCACGUAAACAUUACUAACAGAACCAAAACUAUCACCAUUAGGAUGUGGCAAACUUAGCUCAAUGGCCAAUGGAUUCAAAGUUCCAUCAUCUUUAACAAAAAGAAUGGUUCUAGCAGCAUAGGUCUUUGCUUCAGUUUCAUUUACUUUCCUCAAAUAUGGAUAGAUUGCAUCGUGGUGAUCAAGUAUGUACAAUCUAUUGUCUUCGAUAGCCUGUUAGACAAAAAAAAAAAAAAAAAAAAAAAUUAGCCUCUGUAGUUCAAUUGAUUGAAAAAAUUAAUUUUAAUAGAGAAAUAAUAAUAAUAAAAUUAAUUCUUCAUUACCUCUUUUACUGUGACCCCAUUCAUGUUUGGCUCCAAGUGUUCUUUGGUUAUUGUGCUGGUAUUAUCACCAUAGAGUUUACUAUCUAACUUGCUCUUUCUUGGAAGCUCCUGCAACAAAUAUAGAAAGCAAUGAGGUUAAUUACAAAUUACUAUGUAUGUAUUAUAUAUGAAAAGUUGAAAUGAUAACCUUCUUUAUUUCUUUUGUACAUGCUUAAAAAUAUUACAAAUUUACCAGAAGUUUUUCGAUGGCAUUCGGAUUCACACCAGCAAUCAUCUGUCUUGCAAAUUCCUCAUCAGCCAUCCAUGCAUGAUAAUCCUCUACUCAUAGUAACAAAUUUUCAAAAGAAUCCAUGAGCUUUCUUUAUAUGAUUUUGUAUAUAGUUAAAUAUAUAUUGCGAUAACUUGGAAUUUCUGAACAAUAUAUAUAUAUAUACCUGCAAUCACUUGUGGUGUUGGAUACGUUGAACUUUUAGCCACUGAUUUAGCAUUAAUUGGGGAAAGUUCGUUGGACCUCGAUGUUUUGUUGAAUUUACUUAGUAUAUCAGUACCAUGGUUAAUUUGAAUAUUGAAGAGUGACAACACAUCUUGAAAGGUGUUAAACUCUUGACUGAAUAUUAAACUCUCAUCUGUGUGAAGUAAUUCAUCUCUUGGAAUGUAAAUUCUGCCAGUCCGACUCUCAGUCUUUGGAUCUGUUCAUAUUUAUGAUAACAAAAUUAUGUUUCAGCAACAAUACUAAAAUCUUUAGAAUCAUAAGUAGAGUAAACAUUUGGAUCAACCACAAGACAUGUUUGAAAGACUAUUAUUUUGAGACACAGGCACUACAAAAAUAGAGGACUACACACAAAUAUUUGUAGCCUUACCUUUCUUACUUGGUUCUCUACCAGAUCUUACCCUUCGAGGGUAAGGAAAACCGUCUGAUCCCUCCAAAGUGCUUGAUCCCCCAAGAACUGGACGACCCAAGCCAGCCUCUUUGUCUGGUUCACCCAAAUCAUUGUAGACAUCGUAGUCAUAGAUCCUAUCCCAUUCUUUGCGCUCACCCGUUCCAUCUCCUCUUAAAGUCUUCAACUCUUCUUGUCUGUAGUAGACUAAUGGAGCUGGUGUUUCACUUAGAAGGUAUGUCUACAUUUUUUUAUUUCAUAGUGUCAAAUUUUGAGAUAUAUAAAUAUAAUAUAUAUAUAACAUGUAAGAUAAAUAUGAAUAUGAUAGUUUUCAUUACCUUGUUGGUAAAGAAGAUGCGCUCAGAGUGAUAGUUUUUAGCAUUGUAAAUCCAUGAGUUGCAGUUAAAGUUGAUGGUUCCAUGAUUUGGAACAUCAUUAAGGGUCAAACUCACAAGGAAGAGUUCACUUUGAUUAAAAUUCUCGAUAAAAAAAGCCCCUGGGGAUGGAGCUCCCAACUUUUCAGUGUCCCAUUCAAACGUAAUAUUGAAAUGAAAUUGGGUUUCAUCCGAGGCAAUAAGACUUCCCAAAUAUGUUCGCUCUCCCACUUUUCCUUUUCCAUUUCCUACACAAAUUGCAGAAAGUAGAUCUUAAUUUCCAGAUAUACUACUAAUUUAAAUUACAUCUUUUUGUGCAAAUUUAUUACUACUAUCAACUUAUUAUGGUAAUUUUGUCAUAUUCCUAUAUUUAGGGAUGAAAGUGGUAAUAAUUAUAAUCAUUGUUCCUACUUUUUUGAGAAGAAAACAUCGAAGCCUAUAUCAACAAAGAUAUUCACAAAUUUUUAAACCGGGAGUUUCUACUCUACACUCGCAGAUUAAACUAUAGUGAAAUACUUGAUUUUUUAAUCAAUAAAUUAAUUAUCGGUUUAAUGAAAUAAAGAGUUAUUUAUCAACUUUAAUUUUAUAUUGUAUGAAAUAUCAUUGUAUAAGGGAAAAAAAAAUCACAUCAUUGUUUAUAAGAAUCAUAUUAAAUUAAGAGUAAAUGAUAGAAAAUAACUUUUUUUUUUCUUUCUAAAAAACACUUUUUUUUUUCAAAAACAACUAAACUAACAAUUCGUUUAAAGAUCUGAUGUAUCGAUCGAUGUACUCGAAUUCGUCUUACAAAUAUUGUUUUAACUUGUCAAUUUUACGAUAACAUUUCUAAACAUUUUUAUCCAAGACUUUUUAUUCUGUUAAAAUCUAGUUCUAAAGGGAAAUAGGCAUCGGUAAUAUGGAGUUUGAUCGAGAGGUAAGUAUAGUUUGAUAAAAAAUUGUUCCAUUCAGAAUUGAACUCACGUUCUCUUAAAUAUUUUAUCUAGUGGAACUCAUUAACCACUUUUCUUUUUGGCAAGUAGCCUAGUGGCAAGAAUUCACAUUUUUCAAUAUGAAUAAGUGGGGUUAUAGGGUUCGAACCCCACCCCCUGCAUAUAAUUAUGCAUGUCCCUGCCAACUGAGCUAUCCUCACGGAGACCACUCAUUAACCACUUUAACCUACCAAUUAACUAAAUUUAUUAUUGCAUAAGUUUUCUAUAACUUUUACUCUUUUUAACAUAAAAAAUGUGUUCAUUUGCAUUGUUACUCCCUCGGUCCAACAGUUUACAAAUAAUCAUGGAUAUUAAGAAAAGUUGUUGGAUAAAUAAAGUUGUCCCAAAUUGUUACCAAAUUGUAUUUGUGUUAAUGUUGAUUUUUCAUUUUUCAAAAUACAUUGAUAGUAUUAAUAAAACAAACAGUCUUAUAAUUAUGUACGGAUGGAGUAGUGGAUAUAGUUAGAUAAAGAAGUUAUUACCAUCAACCGUGGAAUCACUAAUCAAUCUGAGAGCCACAGAACGGCCUGGGAUGGAAGGAUCAGCAGCAUCUUUGUUUUGCUUAAGAAUCACAAUACCCUUAAGCUUUGUGACCUUGUUCCUAGCUGACACUGACACGAAUGAAGUCAUCUUUGAUGCUUAAAUGUAUUACACUAUCUUUGUCAAAUGAAAGAAAUGUUUGUGUCUUGUAACCAUUGGGGAUGCUUACUAUUUAUAGUACUUGAUGGGAUCACAAGGUUAGUUCAAAAAAGAUAAACUAUUCUUUGAUACACAGCUGUUCACGAUAUCAUAUUGAGAAAGACGCCAAUUAUUUUACCUAUUUUACUACUAGUGUAUCUCAACAAACAAGUAGGGAAAUCCAAUUAUUUUACUAUUCUUUUUUUUGAAGGAAUUAUUUACUAUUCUUGGAAUAGUGUGUACAUGCAAUUACUCCCUUCUAAUCUUUUUAUAUCAUCAUCUUACAUAAACUAUGAAUAUCAAAAGGAUUUUUCUAUCAAGUACUCAAAACGUUUUCAAUUAUAAGCAAAUUUAACUUUUUAUAUUCAAAAUGAUUUUUCUAUCAAAAACCAUGCUUAAACGUAUUACAAUAUCUUUGGCUAAUGAAAGAAAAGCUUGUGUCUUUUAACCAUAGGGUGGUUUGUAUUUAUGUAAAAUAUGAAGAAAAAAUAUAUAUAUAUCCGUUGAAUAAUUAUUUUGUUAUAAUAAGGUGUAUCAAGUGAGAGGAGUUUUUAUAAUGAGAGAUGAGAGGGUUGAGUUGUAACUCUUGGAAUUUCACCUCCUUCAUCUUGUUACGCGCGCCUUCUUUCUUCUCUCACAUAUGUUUCCAAUUCCUCACAAAUCCCAGACACCUUGAACCUUCCUCGCGACCGCUGCAAGGACUGUGUAUUUGCAUAAUCAACUCAACGUGCGUAGAUCCACCAUGACAAAUUUCCAUCCAUAUUUGUAUAAUCGGUUUCUAGCCACGGUUGAAGAUCGUCGAAUUGACUUCAGAAAAUCAGAUAUAAUCACUGAUUGAGUGACUGGGAAAAUUAAGCAAGAAGUAAUUAUGUGAUUGUCUCUUUGUUUGUGUGCAUAUAGAACAUUUAUCCGAUCUGUGAGUCGCAUCUAUUGAUGACUGUUAUUAGAGCUUUUGGGUCUAAUUUCAUGAAAAACUAAUAAUAUAAUUAAUUGUUACUUUAAAUCCCAAAUAAAAGUAAGUCCAAUCAUUUUAAAACGGAGGGAGUAAUAAAUUAAAAAUUUCAGGCAAAAAAUUGACAUAUAACCAAUCAUAUGCGAUCAAUGAAGAAGAAGAAAGAUAAAACUUAAAGAGAAGGUGUACCUUCUUUUUUUACUCAAUCCGUUUUAAAGCGAGUGUCGUUUUAGCAAAAAAAAAAUUGUUUCAAAAUGAAUGUCACUUUCAGUUUUCAAUGCAAUAAUAACUUUUUCUUUUCAAUUGUACCUUCAAUUAAUAUUAUAUACAUUACUUCCAAAGUAUUAUUUUUUCUUUAAUGAAAAACAAACUAAUAGUUGAUUAUGAUAAUUUGGUAAAAUAACAUCUUUUUUUUUUAAUUAAUGUAUUUCCUAAUAUAUUUAUAAAAACCUUAAACGACGUUCAUUUUAAAACAGAAUGAGUAAAAAACCAAAAUCAAACUAAUCCAUCAAAAUUAACACUUACGAAAAUCUAAAAUAAAAUUUUAAGAUGAGCAUUCCGAAUUGGGUUGCAACUUCUCUUUUUUUAAUUGUCUCCGGUUAUUAAAUUAUGGAAAGUUAAACAAGUAGGUGUAUGGUUGUCUUAUGUGCGAGAGAUUCCAAAGUCACAGCUGCUUUGGUGCUAUUUUUUUUUUUGGUUACAUGCUGCAUUAUGGUUAUUAAUAACUAUUUUUUUCCCCUAAUAAAUAAUAUGGUCAUUAAUAACUGUGCUUUGCUCUAUUAUUAAUUGUAUUAAUACGUGUGCGAGAUGGUAGAUCCGAAUUUUCCGGUCAUGAGAUACAAAACUGUUCACGUUCCCAUAUUGAGAAAAACGCCCAUUAUUUUUAGUUAAUAGUGUCACAACAAACACGUUAGGAAAGCCAAUUAUUUUUUUUUGUCUGCUUUGGAAAACCAAUUAUGAAUAGGUAUGUAACUAAAAUUAGGGUCAUGCUAACCGGUAUCAAGGUACUGGUUAAGGGUAUCAAAAAAGAAAGUUAUUACUAAAGAAAUUUUUUAACUUUUUAUGGAUUUAUUACAUAAUUUUUAAUACAAUAACUAUUAUAUAAUUUUCUUUUUUAAUAUCCUUAACUGGUGCUCCGGAGAAACCGAUUAGCAAUUUCCCUUAGAGGGUCAUGAUCUUAUGAGAUUAAGGAUAAGUUUCUCUCUGGUUUCAACCUCUUCUAGAUUUAAUAAAUAAAUUGACACAAUUUCUGAUACUUUAUUUUUAUAUUUGGUAUAGUAACAUUUGUUCUAUGAGUACAUGUUGGCAUUCCCUUAAGAGUUAAAACUGGUAAAAGGUUUAACGAUUGAAAAAUAUAGAGAAUUUGAAAUGAUAAAACUAUUAUUAGUGGUGAAGAUGCACAUGAAUUGGAAAUUGAAUACAUGUUUUUUGAGUAAAAAAUUGAAUACAUGCUCAAUUAAGUAAACUAUUAUUGAUAAUCAACAAUUGAUUUACAUUAUUUAAAAAAAAAAAUAUUGAUUUACGUAAUCGAAUACUAGUUUGAAUAAAAUUCGCCAAAAUUUGUUUUUUUUAUCUAGUAUUAAUGAAAAGUUUGGCUCUUUAGAUAAGCUCAUAGCAUAUAAGUUGUUGUGAAAGUGAUUUAAAAUUGGAUUUUUGAAAGUGCAAAAUUAGGGUCCGGUUUGGACAAAUCGAUGACUGAUUUUGAAUCAUUUUCCAGCCUUUGUAUUCGACAAUUUUCGGCGUCCGAUUGGUGAAAAUCGGCGGCCGAUUAUGCAAAACAGAUUUUUAUGGGUUAGAUUUAUUCCAAUUUUAUGCGGGAUACUUUUACUAUAAAUAUAGACCUUGUAUCAGAGUAAACAUUGAGAAAGGGGGUUGAAAACAAGGGUUAUGAAACAAACAACAAACUAGGGUUUAGAGAGAUUUCUCUAAGCGGGAGACACUAGAGUUUGAAUUGUUUUGAUUCACCUUGAACAAAACACUGUUAAGAUUGAGUCUCUUGGUCACAUGAAGAGAUUGAGACUUUAUGUAGAAUUAGGUUUGAAGACUAAUUCUUGUUACCUUUUGAUAUCUCUUUGUAAAGUUACUCAUCAUUAUAGUGGAACAGAAGGCUGCUCUCUCCCUCAGACUAGGUCAGUAUUGGACCGAACUUAGUAAACAAAUUUUGUGUGUUCUCUCUCUCUUUCUCUCUCUCUCUCUCUCUCUCUCUCUCUCUCUCUCUCUCUCUCUCUUUCUCUCUCUCUCUCUCUCUCAUUGUUUUCUACUUUACUUGUGUUUAUAAUUGUUACCCAUGUUGAUAUUGAUUGCUUAAUUAUUUUGCUCCACAAAUCAAGUAUUUUAUUGGUGCGAUUUUCAACAAAUUCACAACAUAAGUUAACUUAUUAUAAUGGAUAACAUAUAAGCUAGCUUAUAGAUGAAGCAGAUAGACUAUCUGAAUGAAUUUAUAUUGUUUGGUAAAAUUUGCAGUAGAACUAACUUAAAAAUGAUACAUUUAAUUAAUAAUUGAUUUUUUUUUUUCAAUUAAAAUUAUAGGGGUAAAAUUGAUAUAAAUAAUGAUAAGCUAUAUGCUUCAAACUACUAUAAACUAUAAACUAGUAAAAAUAGGUGAUAAAUUCAUGCAAAAGAGACACUUAUCAUUCUCUUAUAUGACCUUAUAAGAUAUGUAUAAGUUAUAAGAUGGAAAUAGGUCUUGCCAAACAGACUCCUAUCAUUCUCUUAGAAGGAAUUUUUUUAGGGAACUCUUAUAAGGAAUUGAAAUGAUGUUACAAAAAUCUGUAAACAUAUCUAAAACAUGACAAUGGCUCCGUCUAUGGUGGGAGACCUGAAUAGGUCUCAUACCGUAGGAGACAUAGUUUUUUUUUUCUUUUAAAAUGAAUAUGAAUCAUUGGAUAAGGGUUUGAUCAAAAUGUUUACUAUACACCUCCAAUACAAUUGUUUUCUAUUAUUCUAAACUUGUGUAUUUAUUCGACGUUGUUUUUGUUAGACAUAUAAUUAAGGACGACCAAAAUUAUGCAUGCAAACAUAUUUGCAGAUAAAAUUUACCCCGAGCUAGUACAUGACCAAUAUUUUAAUGGGUAUACACGAAUAAAAGAAAAUCAUAUUUUAAAUACUCGUAAGUUAAUAGAUGCACAUGCAGAUGAAAUAUUUAAUGAGAUUAUCUUCAAAAUAUUUAAUUACCUUUUUAUUAUUAAAAAAUACUUUUUUAUGUGUGUGGGCCUAAAUACUAUUUAUUUGAUAUUGUGACCGUAUUAAAAUUGCUCUUCUUGAAGACUAUGCGGUUAAUUAGUAAUGAGUGAUUGUAUGAAUUUUUCCGCUUACAAUAUUUUUUACUUUUGAAACAAAUGCAAACUACUAGAAAUACUCGAUUUUUCUGCGGAACUACCUGCGGAUUUAUGUGAAUAUUCCGCAGAAAACGGUUUUCCUGUGGAUUUUGUCAAGAAUUUAGGUUCCCAUGUAACAGCUUCGUGGGUAAUUGUUUCCUGAAGAUUUUAGGAUCCGCAGGAAGAGUGAAAAAAAUCCGCAGGAAACGUUGGGUUAGUGAUUAGGGAAUUUUCCUGCCCAUAAAAGCACUGUUUCUGCGAAUAUAUUCUCAGGUAUUUCCGCAGUAAAUGAAGCAGGAAAAUCCCCUAGACUCUUUUUCCACAGGAAAGUGAGCUAUUUAUUUAAAAAAAAAAUAAUGCACUUCAUUGCAUUGAACGAUAUAAAUAAUAGAAUAUACAAUUCUUAUAAAUUUCAGAAAUUAUAGAAGACACAGUUUCAUUAAUCAUGCAACAAAAUAAAAUUGAAAGUACCACAUGUCUCUUCAUAGUUGAACCUCCUAUACACAAUUGCUAAUGUCUCAUGCCUUCAAGUCUGUUCCACUCACACCACCUAAUAAACUUCCUAUAAUUACUAGCUAUCCUCCAAAUAUAAAGAUGUAUCGGAAAAGGAGCAUGAACCUCUUACCAACAUCUUCAAGAAGCUGCUAAUCCAAAUUCUUCAUCCAUGCAUUCAUCUAGGUUAGCCUUCUCUAGUACAUACUCAAUUUCAACUUGUCCAACAACCCAAAAAUUAAGAAAAAAAUAAUAGCAUAAGUUUCCUUCCUAAAUGAAAGGAUAUCUGAGAAAUUUCACCCAUAUACAAAACCCUGAUCAGCUUUGAGAAACUAUUAGGCUGAGAAAGACAAAGACAAAAGUGGCAAGUGCACCAAAUCAUUCAAGUAAUAAAGUAGUAAGUAAUCGUAUUUACUGGGGAUCAUUUUUUUUCUACUUGGCAAUUUACUAAACCUUUUAUUAAAAACUAUAAAUGAUGGAAAGUUUGGAAGUUUUAAUUGAUUAACUACAAAAAUAAAAAUGCAUAUUGUGACGAUUAAAAAUAGGACAGUUGAAAAUCUGUGACGGCUCCCCGAUUGUCGAGGACAUGUGUGUCGCUAGAGAAUUUCGUGUCAGUUCAAUAAAUGGUCAUUCCAACAGUCGCACAGGACAUUGCGACAAUUGGAAACCGCCCUUACUUGCGACAAUCGGAAACCGCCCUUAUAAUUAUCGCAAAGAACGCAAUGUUUAUAUUAGAAGGGCUAUUUUGCUUCAAACCAUCGUAGACAUGUGAUUUAUUUUUAUUUUCUACAUUUUCCAUUUUGAUUUUGAUAGUUUAUUCAAUAAGAAUUAAUCUUAAAUUAAAAUAAAAAAUAUUAAUAAAUACUAAAUGCAAAAAUAUAUAAUUAUAUAUGAUUAAAUCUCAUUCAUAUAAUCCUUUCAAGAAUAACAACAUUGAUUCCCUAAAAAAAAAAAAAAGAAUAACAACAUUGAUACAUACAUAAACUUGAUUAAAACAAUAAAUAAAAUAGUUUAACAUUCAAAAAGCCAAAACACUAGUGGAGUGGCUGAUUAUACAAAAGAACUACAUAAAAAUUAAUUGAUAAAAAUUAUCCCCUAGUGACUUUGCUCCAUGAUUCUCAAGGGAACGCCUGCCAUCUAGAAAUAAGCCAGUCCUUCACUCGUCCAUUUAGAAAUUAUACAAACAAAUGAAUACGUUGGUUGGAUUUGGAUACAUCAUGUGGGUUGAUUGUGUCGUAGGCCUUCACAGAGUGUGAGAGAUGUGCGUUGAAAUCUUCAGACUCCUUUCCUGAAAAUUAGUUAUCCUUCAUAGAAUUGAGGACACGAUUCUUAAUAUCAAACACCAUGGGGUUUGCAGGUUGGAACCUGAGAGACAUUUAAUCAUAGUUGGUCUUCUGCUAUCAUGUAAGAACUGCAAGUGCAUGAGAAUGCAUCAUGCGCAGUGCCCAAGAGUAUAAAACUAUAAUCAUAGGAUUUAUAAAAGAGAAUCACAUCAUUUUAGCAGAUUCUGAUUUAGUAUGUUUAAGAGAUAGCAGAUCAGAGUUUGACUUCAUAUAACCCUCUUUCUGUACAUAUUGCCUUAUAUAGUUUAUUGUAUUUAAGUCCUAGUUUAUUGUCAUUAAUUCUCCUUUGUUGUUUGGGAUCAGCUAGGCUUGACUUUAGGGAUUUUGAUAGGAAAACUCUGUAUAUAUGUAACACUGAUUUACAAUGAAAGAUAUGACAGUGAAACACUUUGGUUCCUGUCUUUAUAUGGCAUCAGAGCAAUUCUGAUCCUAAAUUAGAAACGUUUGCUGAAAAUGGCGGACAAAAAUGAUUCCACCAUAGAAGGUGGGAUCAAAGGAGAUCGAAAUGCAGAAACAAAAAUAGCUGGGAAGAAGACACCUUCUCCGUAUGAUCUGAGUUCGCACGACAAUCCAGGAAGCGUUAUCACCCAAGUCCAAUUACGUGGUGAAAACUACGAUGAAUGGGCUAAGGCGAUGAAGACCUCAUUACGGGCACGACGUAAAUGGGGGUUUGUCGAAGGAAACAUAAAACAACCUGAAGAAGGAUCGACAGAAAUGGAGGAUUGGUGGACCGUACAAUCUAUGCUCGUGUCUUGGAUCCUGAACACUAUAGAUCCAACUUUGCGAUCGACCAUCUCUUAUAUGGAGAAUGCAAAGGAAUUGUGGGAAGACAUCAAAGAACGAUUCUCAAUUGUGAAUGGACCUAGGAUCCAACAAUUGAAAUCGGAUCUGGCACAAUGUAAACAAGAAGGAAUGGCCAUGGUGAAUUACUAUGGAAAACUCAAGAUGCUUUGGGAUGAGUUGGUAAAUUACCAACAAAUCCCAAUCUGCACGUGCUCAGGAUGCAAAUGCGGCAUCAAGUCGAAAUUAGAGAAGCAAAGAGAAGAAGAAAGAGUGCAUCAGUUCUUGAUGGGACUAGAUGAUGUGUUGUAUGGAACAGUCCGCUCUAAUUUGCUUGCUACUGAUCCGCUGCCAUCGCUGAACAGAAUAUAUGCUACUUUGAUACAAGAGGAGCGUGUGAAAUCAAUUGCUAGGACCAAGGAAGAACGAGGAGAGGUCGUUGGCCUGGCCGUGCAAACUGCUGGAAGGGCUAGAGGACGUGGUGAUAUGAAGGAGAAGAAUGCGGUAUGUUCAUACUGCAAUCGAACAGGACAUGAUGCAUUAAGCUGUUUUCAGGUAGUUGGAUACCCUGAUUGGUGGGGAGAUAGGCCACGAAAUGAAACUAAGAUGGGUGCAGGUCGAGGAAAAGGACAACAACAAACCAGAGGUUCUAAUCAAGGACGUGGGAGAAGCACAAUUAUUCGUGCAAAUGCUGUCCAAACAAAUGAAGGAGGCCCGGUCGUGACAAAUGCAGAUGCAAGCGGGUUGACAGGUUUAAGUAGUGAGCAGUGGCAGACUUUGGUAGAGCUUCUAAACACUCAUAAGGGAAGCAAUACGGAAAGAAUGACAGGUAAAAAUACAAUAUGGAUUGUUGAUACAGGCGCUUCUAAUCACAUGACUGGAAAUGUGAGAUUUUUGCACAAAAUGAAGAGCGUGCAAGGAUGCCCGGUGGGUCUGCCAAAUGGAGAACAAGCUGCUGCUACUCAAGAAGAAAGUGUAAUUCUUGAAGGGGGCCUGCAACUUAACAACGUUCUAUAUGUGCCCGGAUUAAAUUGCAACUUGAUAUCUGUAUCCCAAUUGAUAGAUGAUAUGGAUUGUGUUUGUCAGUUCACUAACUCUCUAUGUAUUAUGCAGGACCGCACUUCGAAGACGCUGAUUGGAGUGGGUGAACGAAGAGAUGGGCUCUACCAUUUUAGAGGGAUUCGACAUGAGAAAGUCUGCAAAGUAGGAGACAUGUCUUUGUUGCAUCUUUGGCAUAAACGCAUGGGACAUCCUUCCAUGAAGAUUAGUCAGUUAAUUUCAAAUGUUGGUAAAAAUAAGAGUGUGAUUGAAAAUAAAGCCUGUGAUGUUUGUCAAAGGGCAAAGCAAACUAGGGAUAGUUUUCCUUUAAGUGAUCACAAAGCUAGUAGUAGUUUUGAACUAGUUCACUGUGAUUUGUGGGGGCCUUACAAAACUCCUUCUUCAUGUGGAGCGUAUUAUUUCUUAACAAUAGUAGAUGAUUUUUCUCGAGCUGUUUGGAUCUAUUUAUUGCUUGAUAAAAGAGAAGUUUCACAAACUAUAUUAAGUUUUAUUGCUUUGGUAGAUAGACAAUAUGAGAAGCAAAUUAAAAUAAUUCGCAGUGAUAAUGGAACUGAGUUUACAUGUUUAAAAACAGAAUUUAUCAAGCGUGGGAUCAUUUUCCAAACAUCUUGUGUGGGAACGCCACAACAAAAUGGACGGGUCGAAAGAAAGCACAGACAUAUCCUAAACAUUGCCCGAGCACUGAGAUUUCAAAGCAAUUUGCCUAUUUCUUUCUGGGGUGAGUGUGUUUUAACAGCAGGAUACCUCAUAAAUAGGACUCCAACACCUCUGUUAGAUGGAAAAACCCCAUAUGAGAUGCUAAAUGGGCAGCCACCUUCAUAUGAACAUUUGAAGGUUUUUGGAUCUUUAUGUUAUGCACAUAAUCAAGGAAGGAAAGGUGAUAAGUUUACCAGCCGAAGCAAGAAGUGUGUAUUUGUAGGAUACCCUCCCGGGAAGAAAGGAUGGAAGUUGUUUGAUCUAGACAACAAAAAUUAUUUUGUGUCAAGAGAUGUAGCAUUCUUUGAGAAUGAGUUCCCUUUUGCCUCUAUUGAUAAAAUUUCGAGUGAGCCAACACAAAUUAUCGAAAAUGAGAACUAUGAAACUCAAAGUGCAGUGAGUGAACAUCAGGAGCUACCUUUGGAAGUGGAAAUUUCUGAAUUAAGGGGGGGUACUGAUGAAGAGAAUGUGCAAGAAGUUGGGACAUCACAAGUGCUACAACAAGAUGAUGAACAUGAAGAAAUUAGUGAAGAAGAUCUUGGUCGAGGUAAACGCGUGAAGAAUCCCUCUGUAAAGCUGAAUGGUUAUGUGACAUAUAAUGUACAAAAAAUGGUUAUGAGCCCAUCUACGAGUUCACUCCCUCUACAGCCGAAAUCAGGUGCGCCCUAUCCCAUAAUGCAUUAUGUGAGUUGUGAUAAUUUUUCAGUGCAGCACCGCAGGUUUCUUGCUGCUGUAAGUGCAGAGAAAGAGCCGAAAAAUUAUUCUACGGCCGUUAAAGAUCCUAGAUGGCGUACAGCUAUGCAGCAGGAGAUACAAGCGCUUGAAGAUAAUCACACAUGGACUAUAUGCUCUCUCCCAGCAAAUAAAAAGGCCUUGGGGUGUAAAUGGGUAUACAAGAUCAAGCAUCGUUCCGAUGGGACCGUAGAACGGUUUAAAGCUCGACUCGUGAUCCUUGGAAAUCAUCAAGUGGAGGGGAUAGAUUACAAUGAAACAUUCGCUCCUGUAGCUAAAAUGGUUACAGUUCGAAUUGUGCUAGCAGUUGCUGCAGCCAAGAAGUGGGAACUCCAUCAAAUGGAUGUUCAUAACGCCUUCUUACACGGAGAAUUGCAAGAGGAGGUGUUCAUGAAACUGCCCCCUGGUUUUCGUCCCUCUCAACCAGAGAUGGUAUGCAAGCUUGGGAAGUCACUGUACGGAUUAAAACAAGCUCCCCGUUGUUGGUUUGCUAAGCUUUCCUCAGCCCUCAAACAAUACGGAUUUCAUCAAUCAUAUUCUGAUUACUCUUUGUUUACCUUGUUUGAUAAAACUGUGCAGCUUGUGGUUUUAGUUUACGUUGAUGAUUUGAUCAUUUGUGGAAAUAAUCAUGAUUCGAUUGAACGGUUCAAGGAAUACUUGAGUCGUUGUUUCCAUAUGAAAGAUUUAGGAUUGUUGAAAUAUUUCUUGGGGGUGGAAGUGGCGAGAUCGCCUUCUGGGAUUUUUCUCUGCCAAAGAAAGUAUGCUUUGGAUAUUAUUAGUGAAGCCGGGCUACUUGGAGCAAAGCCUAUGCCGACUCCACUCGAGCAGAACCAUAAUCUCAGUCUUGCUCAAGGGGAGUUUCUUGAAAAUCCUGAAAGGUACCGUAGGCUUGUUGGACGCCUUAUCUAUCUUUGUUUUACUCGACCUGAGUUGUCGUAUAGUGUCCAUAUUCUCUCUCAGUUUAUGCAGCAACCACGAGAAGACCAUUGGACUGCUGCGCUAAGGGUGGUGCGGUAUCUUAAAGGGAAUCCAGGCCAAGGUAUAUUUCUUGACAGUACAAGUGAUAUGAAGCUGCACGGGUGGUGUGAUGCUGACUGGGCAGCUUGCCCUAUCACUCGCAGAUCACUCACAGGUUGGGUCAUCUUCUUGGGGAACUCGCCUAUCUCUUGGAAGACCAAGAAGCAGCAAGUUGUGUCUCGGUCAUCUGCUGAAUCCGAAUACCGUUCGAUGGCUAAUACAACUUGCGAGUUAAAGUGGGUGAAGAGUAUUCUUUGCAGUCUAGGUAUCUCUCAUUCUAUGCCUAUGCAACUCUAUUGUGAUAGUCAGUCUGCGCUUCACAUUGCAAAGAAUCCCGUCUUCCAUGAACGUACCAAACACAUUGAAGUGGACUGUCAUUUCGUUCGUAAUGAAAUACUUCAUGGUCAGCUUCAACCUUCUUAUGUUUCCACUCAUGCUCAACUCGCAGACAUACUUACUAAAGCAUUGGGUCGUGCUCCAUUUCAAUUCCUACUUGCCAAGUUGGGCAUUCGAAAUCUUCAUGCUCCUACUUGAGGGGGGGUAAAAGAGAAUCACAUCAUUUUAGCAGAUUCUGAUUUAGUAUGUUUAAGAGAUAGCAGAUCAGAGUUUGACUUCAUAUAACCCUCUUUCUGUACAUAUUGCCUUAUAUAGUUUAUUGUAUUUAAGUCCUAGUUUAUUGUCAUUAAUUCUCCUUUGUUGUUUGGGAUCAGCUAGGCUUGACUUUAGGGAUUUUGAUAGGAAAACUCUGUAUAUAUGUAACACUGAUUUACAAUGAAAGAUAUGACAGUGAAACACUUUGGUUCCUGUCUUUAUAAUUUACAGCCAUAGCUGUUCUCUAUAAUUGCUCUACAAUUCCCAGUAGUUAAAUUUAUUUACCUGGAGUUGAUGAAAUUUGAGCAAGUAAACAGUGGAUUCUACAUACAUUGGAUUGCUUUCUACAUAUCUAAAAUAACAAUCAAAAUGUCAGUGAGCAUAAAUAUUGUUUAAUUAUUACAAAUUUCAUAAAUGAAUGUUGUUUAGUACUUACGAGAUGCAUUCAUCAAGCCUUUUGAGAAGUGGGAGGAAGUUUACGAUUCCAACAUUCAUAUUUGAAGAAUAAAAAUUGGUAGCAACCUGCACAUGACGAUUUAAAGAAACCACAUACAUCAUCUAUAAAUUCAUAAGUAUGUGAAGUUUUCAGUUUGCAUUCGCAAAUUUUUAACUGCGUAUCUUACUCACCAUAACUCAUUACAAGGUAUAGUUAAAGCUAACCACAUUUUAGUGUCAUUUUAUUCACCAUAAACACAUGAGAAGAAUCUUUGCAAUAUGCAAUAAUCUUAUAUGUUCCCUGCAUUUCAAUUUUAAAUAAUGCUUUAUCCUUCCAGAUUGAGUACAACUUCAUACUUUAGUUUUGUAGAUUAAAAUACACUAAAAUGCACAUAGCUAUGUAGAUUAAAAUGACAUUGAUAAUGAUAUCCAGUAGUUGUAAAGACUUCAUUAGUAAGUUUAACUCAAGUUUAAAAAUUCUUGUAACUUCACAAGUUAAUAACUAAAACUCUUAAGCAUCAUAACUCAAUUAUUCCCUUUCCUUUAAUUUUUUGUAAUGGCUGUAUUCUCUUUCCUUGUCUUACCCAGAAUUGCAAAACACACCCACGACGACCUUAUGAACAGUCACAAAACAACCUUACAAAUAUGUAACGACACAAUCGACUUUCUCUAAUUCUUCAAUCUAUAGAGCUUGCAAUAAGAGAAGUUGAUAUGAGAAAUUCAAUGGGUUCAGUUCAGCACACAAAGAAUAUUUGUUAUUUGAAAAUAAAAAACCGCAUGAGAAUGUUAUGGAUCUUCUUCGGUUCCUCCUUCUGCUGCACUAUUGAAGAUUGAAGAUGUUGUAUUAAGGUGUUUUUGGAUCUGGGUACAGCACAAUUUUGUUGAGAAUAAUAAAAAAAAAAAAAAAAAAAAAUUAGACUUAUUUAACCGGUUGCCGGUUUAAGAAAUUAAAAAUGAAAUGACGCGUCCGUAACUGAAUGAGCGACUGCCCCUAACAUUACUCUAUUUAUUAUUCAAUGGUUAGGAUUUCAUCGGACCUUCUAGUCAUUAGAGAGGAUUCAUUCCUGUCCUUUAACCAUAGGGUGCUUAGUAUUUUGGUAUUUAAGUUGAUGGUAUCACGUGGUAAUGGCUCAGGAUAAGAUAUUUUGUUUGACUCAUCAUCAAACAAAACAAAUUCAAAUUGAUUCACUGCAUUAUUAUUUUUGGUUUGUUAUGUACUGCUCUGACGUUAUUUGAUGGUAUCACGUGCUUUUUUUCUUCUUCUUCUGUUUGCUCUGUUAAAAAAAGUUCUAUUAUUACGUGAGUGGUUAGCUAGAUCAUAUUUAGAAGGACCACCGAUAAACACCAAAAAAUAAAAAAUAUAAUCGAUGUUUAAUUUUUUAUUUAUUUAUUAAAAAAGACAAUUGUUCAUUCGAAUCUAUGGAAAUACAUGAAAAAACACAAAUUCAACCAAGGAAGACGGAAUUUACUAUUAAAACACGUAUAUUUGAUAGUGGUUCCGGAUGUAGAAAACUAAAGUUUGUGUUGAGGUUUAAAGGAGACGAUAAGCAUAAAGGAAUAAAGAUAAAGUUGAAACAAGAAGGCACAUGUUUAAGAAAAUGCAGAUGUUCCAUUCAGGUUGAGUGGUUUUUUUAGUGCAUAAAAAAUAUGGAGUCUUGGUUUUGUUUCACGAUUGCAUAAUCAUGAGAUGCAGUCAAAGUUAGAAGGUCAUAUUUUGGUGUGUCGUUUAAAUAUUUUGUCUACUUUAAAAGAUAGACGGAAAGACAACAGUUCCAAAGCAAGUUUACAAUCUACGUCAAAGAUAAAAAAGACCAUAAGGGUGUGUUUGGUUUGCAAAACAACAAGUACUGGACAGAACAGUACAAGAUAGAACAGUACAACACAAGGCAGAACAGCACAAAACAAAUUUUUUAUGGCAUUGAGUAAUUUUUUGUUUUAUACGAUUUUUGAGGGACAAAAUGCUAUUUUGGUAUUUUAGACAACUUGUACGUGAGACAAAAAGUUGUGUUGUGGUUUGGUGAGGGACAAAAAUAUGAGUUUUUGUCCUAUCUUUUACCUCCAGUUUGUCCUAUACCUGAAACAGUUUUAUAAAUCAAACACUGGACAACUACAGUUGUUAUGUUUUGUCCUUCAUUUUUUAGCAAAUCAAACGCACCCUAAGAGAUUGGAGAAAAUGAAGCAAAUUGUUGAAGUGUUUGAAGAAAACAACUAAGCUUUCAGGUAUAAAUGUUUGGGGAGUCAAAAAUUGUUCAAGACAUGUUUUUGGUACAUCCUAAACAUGUGAACUUGUUUAACACUUUUUCUACUCUUUUGCUAAUGCAUUUCAUUUAUUUCCUUCGAUCACUAUUAUAAUAAAAAAGCAUUUAUAAGAUUUAUUGAAUUACUUAUAUAUCCAGUAUUAUAGAUUAAAUACGUCAGUUAUUCUAUUAAUAAAAAAUGGUUUUUUUCUUAUAAUAGUGAAGGUAAUGAGUAUAAAAUAUCAAUUACUGAGAUGUAUUGUUUGAGAUAGUUUGCAUUAGUCAUAUAACUCAAUACCCAAAACACCUGACUCACAUUUUGUCAGCGGUAGUCAAGGUUUUACAACUCAAGAGUUUACCUCAACUCGUUUUGCUUAGGUAAACUCCACUCUUAAACUCGAUUCGAGAAUUCGUACGAGUUUACCUAAAAUUAAAAUUAUAUAAAAUUUAUUAUAUGCAUGACAUAUAUAAGUUAAUAUAAUAUUGUAAAUAGGUUAAUAGUGCAAAAUAUGACUUAAUUACAAAGGAAAAUUAUAUGAAACUUCUAUAAUGAAACGUUAUGCUCAACUUAGCAUCAAAAUACAAAAAUUAACGCACAUAAUUAUAAGUUUCAUAAGUCUCUAAGUUUAAGUCAUCCAUAAAACCAUCCAAAAAAGCAAGUUUCACAAGUUUAUAAAGUUGUUAAUAAAACUAGAGAAAUGCUAGCAACACUCUCUUUUGGACACUCUCUAACACUCACUCUUUUAUUGGAUAAAAUCAAUGUAUGUCCCACCAUUUUAUGUGGGUUCCAUUUCCAAAGUAUACGACCCACAUUGUUUUAACCCAAUAAGAGAAUGAGUGUUAGAGAGAGUGUCCAAAAGGGAUUGUUGCUAGCAAUCCUCAUAAAACUAUCCAAAAAAUAAACUGGCUAAUUUCUUCAAAAAGUCAUCAAACACCACCACCGCAACCCUAACCAACAUCGCAAUCACCGGCGUUGCAAUCGGAAUUUCCCCCAUCGAAAUCGCAACCCUAACUAAUAUGUGCUCUCAUGUUCAUGGUUUGAGAACUCAGAUAAGAAAAAAAAAAAGAAACGUUUCAUUUCAGGAAGCUAGCAAUGUGUUACUGUAAAAGUAACUAUUUGAUAAACGUUUCAGUCUCUGGGCUUUUAGAAUCGAAAUUGGGUUUUGAAAAAAACUUAGCCCAAAAAAAUGGGCCAAUUUUUACUUUUUUUUUAGAUUUAAACUCGUAAAACUCGGUCAAGUUUACACGAGUUUAUCGAGUGUACGUUAACUUGGUCAAACUUGUCAAACUUUCCGAUUUUACCAUAAACAGAGUUUACCUCCGAGUUAACACGAUUUUGGUACCUAAAAACAUAAAUUCGAUAAACUCGGCGAGUUACCACUCAAUUUGCGGAACAUUGCCGGUAGUACAAUAGUUAAAUUGGCAUAUUGGAUUCAAUAAUUCGAUAUGACAUUAACUUGGAGCAUUAGUCUCGGGUCUGUCCAGAGAUUGUGUCCCAUCUCAACUUCUAUGGUUUUUUCUUCAUGAAAUUCUUGCGGAAAAAAAUUCUGUUUUAAUUAGGCAUGGCAACAAAACUCAUACCCUCACGGUUACCCACAAAAAUCAAACUCAAUUUGACGGGCUUUCUCCGUUUUGACUGAGUUUGGGUAUGGGUUUGGGUCUUCCCCGAUUUUAAAACACGGGUACAAGACGGGUAACGGGGAUAUAGGUACCCAUGCUCAAACCCAUCCUGAAUGUAGAAAAUCAAUUUAUUACCCAUUUUAUAUAAACAGAAACCCAAACCCUAAAUCAUUUCACUCACACAAUUAGAGUCUCAGACUUUAAAAUGACACUCACUUAUCAUAGUUCUCUUCUUUCUCCUUCCAUGCCUCACACUCUCGGCCUCUCUCUUCUCCUUCACUAUAGCCAUCCAUUUCCAUAAUCUUUUUGCUGGAUAAUGCAUUACAACAUUGCGCUCGGGGAUGCAAAAUACUUUUAUUUCUAUCAACAACAGAAAACUUUCCGGGGAUGGGAUGGGGCAGGAAUAUCCGAACCCGUCGGGGACGGGGAUGAGAUUCGAUUUCUCAUCCCCGCUGGAUAUGGGUAGGGUAACAGGUAAGUAUAUGAGAGUAGAGUAUGGGGACGGGGAAGGUAAAACCCGUCCCCACCCCCGCCUCAUUGCCAUGCCUAAUUUUAAUAAAGCACUUUCAUAUAAAAAUAAUCAAUUUUUUACCUUAUGAGUUGAUGUAUGUAAGAUUCUUUAACUUACUUAUCUAUAGUAGAAAAACAAUUGGUACAUGAAAUAUAAUCACUAUUGUCUAUGAAUAUUUCAACGUUAUCAUUUUUUUUUUGUCAUGCCAUAUUGCAUAUUUGUAUAAGCUUCGAUGUUCACAAUUCAUUUUCUUAAAUUAUGAAGUUUGCAUUUCAGAUAUAUCAUAAAAUAAGUCCAUCACAAUAAAAGGUACAAUCAUAGUAGUGUUUAUUAAUGAAAAUGAUAACAAUCAAACAAACAUUGCAUAAAAACAUGACCAUACAAAGGGAAAUAUGAGGGAAAUGGAUUCCUUCUCAUCUUUUAUUCAAAGCAAGAAACAACAAAACAACCAUGACAUUUUCUAGAUGGAGACACUGUUGGGAAUGCCUCUGAAAGUCAAUCCUGGCUCACUUGAAGGAUAGAGCACAGUGUAUGGCAUCUUCACUGGCCCAUUCCUGUUUCUCAAUGAUUCAUCGUUGUUCCUUUCAAUGAGCUUUUGCUCAAUUUCAGCCAACUUCUUUCCAAACUUCUUGAAGGCCUCUACUGGCUCUGAAUCGUAAGUCCAAAGAUCACCUUCGAUUCUGUGUCCAAUGUAUUGCUCAUCAGAAACAUGUGUUGACAAUUGCUCCAUAACAGAUAUGUUCACAACGGUAUCCGUUUUUGGUGUGAUUGUUCUCAAAUAAGCCUUCUCGUAAUCCUUAGCAAGCUCGUCAUACUCAGGGGUUCCUUUCUCAGGCAUGAAUCUUCUGCUUUUAGUUGGUCGGUUAACAAUGUAUCCACCGUACGGAUAUUGUCCAAAAUUAACAGCUGCAUGAAGUGCUGAAGCAAUCCAUAUGAGGGUGGUGCAAGUUUCAAUCAACUCUGUACGAGUUUCCAAUUUAACCCACUUAUCAGUCUUCGAGUCACCAUGACCCACUUCUACAAGUUCUUUCCAAAAUGCUUUGAGUUCCUCAUCAUCUUUAACAUCUUUAUCUGACUUGUAGUAGAAAUUGACAUAUUCAUCAACCCAUGACUUAAUAGCAGCCCAUAUCUCUAGUCCAUCAACAGCAUAUGGAUAAUCCUCUAUCAGAAGACGCAGACCAUGUGGAGAUUUUGGAUCCUUAACAGCCACACCUCUAGAUAACAAGCAAGGAAGAUAAUAUUAACAUACAAAAAUUUAAGUGAUAUUAAUAACUAUUUCGAACUUAUUAAUUUAAGUUGGCUAGAAUUUGUUAAUAGAUAGUUAGCUUAUUAAUUUCGUAGUUUCUUUGUUCAUUCUCUAUUUCUCUAUGGAUACAAAACAAAACUCUUGCAUCUAAACUGACAUCUCAUGGGUGUAAAAGAUUAUUUUUGAGAUCAAUGUCUUUCUAAAAAUGGACUAGACGACGAUGUAAUAAUUUGUAAGGUCACCUUUUGAUUAGAUCAUUAGGUAGUCCUUGAUCUUGGAAAACCCAAUCCUUGUAAACUUCAGAAGACAAUUCCAUUGAAUAACUUCCAAACAAGUAUGUUGACUCUAUAAUACCCCCUGCUUUGAUCAAGGUAUCUCGCGCAUUGGCAUUUAUGUUCAUUGUGUUACGAUAGUGUGGAAGUAAAAGUUUAUGAAUAGGGUGAACCACACUAAGAUGCCUAUUUGUUGCUAUGAUGAAUGGCUCAACAAC